UACAGAGGUCCCAAGCGUUGUUCGGAUUCAUUGGGCGUAAAGGGUGCGUAGGCGGCGCGGUAAGUUGGGUGUGAAAUCUCGGGGCUUAACUCCGAAACUGCAUUCGAUACUGCCGUGCUUGAGGACUGGAGAGGAGACUGGAAUUUACGGUGUAGCGGUGAAAUGCGCAGAUAUCAGGAGGAACACCAAUGGCGAAGGCAGCACUCUGGGACGUGACUGACGCUGAGACGCGAAAGCGUGGGGAGCAAACAGG
rnacentral:rRNA from 1 species